rnacentral:rRNA from 1 species
AUUGAACGCUAGCGGGAUGCUUUACACAUGCAAGUCGAACGAGUGGCGCACACGUGAGUAAAAUACCGGAACGAGCCCAGAAGCGGGGGAGAACUCCUCGAAAGAGUGCUUCUGACCGCACACUAUUGGCGCGGCCCUUAUCGGAUUAGAUAUUGGGUGAGGUAAAGGCUCACCAAGGCAACGAUCCGCAGCUGGUUUGAGAGGACGACCAGCCACACUGGAACUGAGACACGGCCCAGACUCCUACGGGAGGCAGCAGUGGGGAAUUUUGGACAAUGGGGGAAACACUGAUCCAGCCAUCCCGCGUGUGUGAGAAGGCCUUCGGGUUGUAAAGUACUUUUGGCAGAGAAGCGGUAUCUGAAGAAUAAGCACCGGCUAACUACGUGCCAGCAGCCGCGGUAAUUC